rnacentral:rRNA from 1 species
GAUGAACGCUGGCGGCGUGCCUAAUACAUGCAAGUCGAGCGAACAGACGGGGAGCUUGCUCCUCUGACGUUAGCGGCGGACGGGUGAGUAACACGUGGAUAACCUACCUAUAAGACUGGGAUAACUUCGGGAAACCGGAGCUAAUACCGGAUAACAUGUUGAACCGCAUGGUUCAACAGUGAAAGACGGUCUUGCUGUCACUUAUAGAUGGAUCCGCGCCGCAUUAGCUAGUUGGUAAGGUAACGGCUUACCAAGGCAACGAUGCGUAGCCGACCUGAGAGGGUGAUCGGCCACACUGGAACUGAGACACGGUCCAGACUCCUACGGGAGGCAGCAGUAGGGAAUCUUCCGCAAUGGGCGAAAGCCUGACGGAGCAACGCCGCGCGAGUGAAGAAGGUCUUCGGAUCGUAAAACUCUGUUAUUAGGGAAGAACAAAUGUGUAAGUAACAAUGCACGUCCUGACGGUACCUAAUCAGAAAGCCACGGCUAACUACGUG